GGUUCGAUCAGAUGGCUCAGAUUGAACGCUGGCGGGAUGCUUUACACAUGCAAGUCGAACGGCAGCACGGACUUCGGUCUGGUGGCGAGUGGCGAACGGGUGAGUAAUGUAUCGGAACGUGCCUAGUAGCGGGGAUAACUACGCGAAAGCGUAUUAAUACCGCAUACGCCCUUCGGGGGAAAGCGGGGGACCUCUCAAGCCCCUGCACUAUUAGAGCGGCCGAUAUCGGAUUAGCUAGUUGGUGGGGUAACGGCUCACCAAGGCGACGAUCCGUAGCUGGUUUGAGAGGACGACCAGCCACACUGGGACUGAGACACGGCCCAGACUCCUACGGAGGCAGGGGAAUUCUUGACAAUGGGGAAACCUGAUCCAGCCAUCCCGCGUGUGAUGAAGGCCUUCGGGUUGUAAAAUAACUUU
rnacentral:misc_RNA from 1 species